AGGCUGAAGGAAGGCAAGGGCUGAAACAGGGAGACAGGAUGCUACUGCAGUACUCCAGGUGAAGGCUGCUGGUUGCUUGGACUGAGUCAGAACAGUGAAACUGAUGGGAAGUUGUCGGAGAGUAAAUAUUUCCAACUACAGUCUGGUGAUGGAGUCUGACACGGGAACCUUCUUACCCACUGGGCUGCAAUUCACUGGCAGUGAGAAGGCCAGGGCCGUCAUGGAGGAGGUUAUGAGCCUGCUGCAGCCCCUCAAUGUCACUCAGGUCCUGAGCCAUGGAGAAGGGACAGACAUCAACUUUUGGAUCAAAGCUGGAGUGCCUGGUACUUCUGCAUAUCUACCCAGUAGAGAAGGAUCCUAUCACAAGAGGUGUGGGAAAACUAUACCACAAGGCUGCAGUAACCAAAAUGGAAUGUUACUGGUACAAAAACAGACACAUAGGCCAAUGGAACAGGUUAGAGAAGCCAGCAAUAAAGCCACACACAUACAACCAUCUGAUCUUUGGCAAAGCCAACAGUAAAAAACAAUGGGGAAAGGACUCCCAAUUCAAUAAAUGCUGCUGGGAUAACUGACUAGCCAUAUGCAGAAGAUUGAAACUGGACUCCUUCCUCCCACCAUACAUAAAAAUCAACCCAAGAUUGAUUAAAGACUUAAGUGUAAAACCUAAAAUUAUAAAAAUCCUACAAGAAAACCUUGGAAAUAACAUUCUGGACAUUGGCCCUGGCAAAGACUUCAUGAUGAAGACUCCAAAAGCAAUUGUAACAAAAACAAAAAUCGACAAGUGGGACCUAAUUAAAGAGUUUCUGCACAGUAAAAGAAACUAUCAACAGAGUAAAUAGACAACCUACAGAAUGGGAGAAAAUAUUUGCAAACUACGUAUCUGACAAAGGUCUAAUGU
rnacentral:sRNA from 1 species